CACAAAGUAAGUCCUAUCCCACUAUGUUCUUUCCUUCACAAAAAAUCAACCUCUUCCAGACAUUGCAAAUUAGCUAACAAGAGUCUCUGAAGAUUUGGAUUUUCCUUCUUUCACCAGAAAAUCAAGCCUCUUCUCUUCUAUUCAGACACUGCAAAUUUAGGGUUUUUAAUAGCAAGAACAUUUGCAGGGCAGUAAUCGAAGGGCAGAUUGAAUCUUGAUAAAGGAGUUUGGGAAGACAGAAGAAAAUGUCGGGUAUGGGAGAUGGGUAUGUGGGCACUGCCCAAGAUGCUGUGAGAAUCCGAAGGCUUGAGAAGCAAAGAGAAGCGGAGAGGCGAAAGAUUCAAGAGCUGAAGAACAAGAGUGCUUCCUCUAAAGGCCAACCUGGCCUCCUCCAAUUUGGCUCCAGCACCUCUGAGAUACUCGAGACAGCAUUUAAGAAGGAAACUGUUGGGUUGGUGAGUAGGGAAGAAUAUGUUGAGAAGAGGGUUAAUAUUAGGAGUAAGAUUGAAGAGGAAGAAAAAGAGAAGCUUCAGAAGUUGCAACAAGAGGAGGAGGAACUUCAGCUACAGAAGCUUAAGAAGAGAAAAGUGAAGGUGGACCCUCGGUUAUCCUUUUGUGAUGAUAUUGAGAAUUCCAACACAGAUGAAGAUGUAGAAAACGUUGGAAGGAAAGAAUCAGAAAGGCUUGGAUGUUGGAAAUUCGGGAAGGAUCCAACUGUUGAAACUAGUUUUUUGCCUGAUAGCACACUCUUUCAGUGAGAGAGAGGCAGAGGAGCAAGCUGAGCGUGAAAGGCUACGGAAGCAGUGGCUUGUUGAACAAGAACGUAUUAAAAAUGAACCCCUUGAAAUUACUUACAGCUACUGGGAUGGGACAGGCCAUAGACGGGUUAUCCAGGUUCGGAAAGGAGAUUCAAUAGGGGAGUUCCUUCGAGCUGUACAACAGCAACUUGCACCAGAGUUUCGAGAGGUCCGGACAACAUCAGUGGAUAAUCUGCUAUAUGUGAAAGAAGAUCUUAUCAUUCCUCAUCAACACAGUUUCUAUGAGCUGAUUGUUAACAAAGCUAGGGGAAAGAGUGGACCGCUUUUCCACUUUGAUGUGCAUGAGGAUGUGAGGACAAUAGCUGACGCAACAAUAGAGAAGGAUGAGUCACAUGCUGGGAAAGUUGUUGAAAGGCACUGGUAUGAGAAGAAUAAGCACAUUUUUCCUGCUUCACGUUGGGAGAUAUAUGAUCCAACAAAGAAGUGGGAAAGGUACACUAUCCAUGGGGAUUGAUAUGUUGAAGCCAAAAUUACCCCUUCAGUGUUAUUUGAUUGCAGAACAGAAGUGCCUUGUAAAGCUAGAAAUGUAUCUUAUCAAUUGGACCGAUAUGAUAUAGAAAAACUUGUGCUUUUGUUUAUUAUUGUGCUAGAAACGUAUCUUACAAGAUCUGGAGUUGUAUGUUCUAUGCAUCGUUUUGGUUUUAUUUGCUGUUGCAGCAGAAUUUCUCUUUUUGUUUGAUCAGACCAAACCUGAGUGAUAGUGUAAUAGCUGAUUAGUGACUGUUGAUAGACAUGCAUGUUCAAUUUUCUGAUCAAACAGCUAUUUGCUAGCAUCUAUUUUUGUGCAAGUAUCAAUUCUGGAAAGAAUGAAACUGUAAAAAGAUAUGUUAAGAGA